GUGGGGUUCGGCACGAAGUGGUUGACCCGACCGCCGAUCACGGCCAGCGUGCGCUUGCCUUGAGUGACCAUCUGGACGCCGCGGCUCUUGAACGCCCU
rnacentral:sRNA from 1 species